UCCAGCCACAGUGAGGCACAAGUCAGCUCGCUGUCUAUUCCUCGGAAACAUACAGGGCAAGCUGCUAAGAGUUCUCCAGUUGGGCUAGUCGGACGAGGAAUUAAUUACUCAGGAGGAAGUGGAUGAAGGCGAAUGGGAGGAGAAUCCGGAUGAAAUGUUACAGGAUUUGGACAUCAAUACGCAGGGUGUCGAAUCCUUGAUCACUGCAGUGAAAAAGAUUCUGAAAAUUCCUGAAGAUCUGGUACCGGAGUCUAAAGAAUUCAAACUAUUUGUAUUAAUGGAGAUGCUGAUUUCGUUGAUUACAUCAUACCUGGACGAACUUGGACCGGAGCUGCAGAUCCCUAUUGAUAUUCUAUGUGAACAUUAAGUAAUGGGAUUGUGUGUCUCAAUCUCUGACUUUAUAUGACAGUCAUUUUUGUCAACUCUUUUUUUUUUCUCCACUUAUCCAUUCAAUGACUUAACAUUGUUAUGAUUUUAUUGUUGGCAACUGUACAACAUU